rnacentral:rRNA from 1 species
ACGAACGCUGGCGGCGUGCUUAACACAUGCAAGUCGAACGGAAAGGCNCCUUCGGGGGUGCUCGAGUGGCGAACGGGUGAGUAACACGUGGGUGAUCUGCCUCGUACUCUGGGAUAAGCCUGGGAAACUGGGUCUAAUACUGGAUAGGACCGCACUUUAGUGUGUGUGGUGGAAANUUUUUUCGGUACGAGAUGAGCCCGCGGCCUAUCAGCUUGUUGGUGGGGUAAUGGCCUACCAAGGCGUCGACGGGUAGCCGGCCUGAGAGGGUGGACGGCCACAUUGGGACUGAGAUACGGCCCAGACUCCUACGGGAGGCAGCAGUGGGGAAUAUUGCACAAUGGGCGCAAGCCUGAUGCAGCGACGCCGCGUGAGGGAUGACGGCCUUCGGGUUGUAAACCUCUUUCGACAGGGACGAAGCUUUUUGUGACGGUACCUGUAUAAGAAGCACCGGCUAACUACGUGCCAGCAGCCGCGGUAAUACGUAGGGUGCGAGCGUUGUCCGGAAUUACUGGGCGUAAAGAGCUCGUAGGUGGUUUGUCGCGUCGUCUGUGA